rnacentral:rRNA from 1 species
UACAGAGGGGGCAAGCGUUGUUCGGAAUUACUGGGCGUAAAGGCGCGUAGGCGGCCUGCUAAGUCGAACGUGAAAUCCCUGGGCUACAACCCAGGAACUGCGUCCGAUACUGGUUGGCUUGAAUCCGGGAGAGGGAUGUGGAAUUCCAGGUGUAGCGGUGAAAUGCGUAGAUAUCUGGAGGAACACCGGUGGCGAAGGCGACAUCCUGGACCGGCAUUGACGCUGAGGCGCGAAAGCCAGGGGAGCAAAGCGGGG